CCUGGUGACAAUAGCUUUGUGGAACCACCCGAUCCCAUUCCGAACUCGGAAGUGAAACGCAAACGCGCCGAUGGUAGUGUGGGGUCUCCCCAUGUGAGAGUAGGUCAUCGCCAAGC
rnacentral:rRNA from 1 species